UGCCCAGCAACUCCUAUCCCUACCUCCUCGUGGUACAGGCCGGGGUACGAGUAACCUUGGGGAAGAUCGGGUAACCAACCCCCGGUGGGAACUUUGGUCGUAUGCUGACAGGGAAGG
rnacentral:ribozyme from 1 species